UCCCUUCUGCUUCAUCCCAUGCCCAUCUCUGUGUCCAAAAAUAAACUGGCUGACAGUUUACAGGAGAAAGUUGUCAUGAAGCCAAGGCAGGAAUUUUCUGGGAGGACCAUGCUUGGCACAGCUGGUCUCCUAACAGAUGUCAGAGCAUAGGUUCAAUCUACCUCCCUGAAGAAGCUUCCAGUUCUGGCUCCAAACCUAUCUGUCUUCUAAAUGGCUUUGAAAGAACCCUGGGAAGCAUAUAAGAACAUACAGCCCUUCAGAUGUUGCUGAACUCCCACCUAUCUCAUGAGCCGGAGUAUGGAACACUAGUUGUUGUCUUGGGAAUCACAGCACGUUGUCU